rnacentral:rRNA from 1 species
GACGAACGCUGGCGGCGUGCUUAACACAUGCAAGUCGAACGAGAGUUAGAUCGAAUGAGUUUUCGGACAAAUGAGAUUUAACGAAAGUGGCGAACGGGUGAGUAACACGUGAGCAACCUGCCUUACACAGGGGGAUAGCCAUUGGAAACGGUGAUUAAUACCCCAUAAGACCACAAUACCGCAUGGUAAAAGGGUAAAAGGGAUACCGGUGUAAGAUGGGCUCGCGUCUGAUUAGCUAGUUGGUGGGGUAAAGGCCUACCAAGGCGACGAUCAGUAGCCGGUCUGAGAGGAUGAACGGCCACAUUGGAACUGAGACACGGUCCAAACUCCUACGGGAGGCAGCAGUGGGGAAUAUUGCACAAUGGGGGAAACCCUGAUGCAGCGACGCCGCGUGAGCGAAGAAGGCUUUCGAGUCGUAAAGCUCUGUCCUAUGAGAAGAUAAUGACGGUAUCAUAGGAGGAAGCCCUGGCUAAAUACGUGCCAGCAGCCGCGGUAAUACGUAUGGGGCGAGCGUUGUCCGGAAUUAUUGGGCGUAAAGGGUACGUAGGCGGUUUUUUAAGUCAGGUGUCAAAGCGUGGAGCUUAACUCCAUUAAGCACUUGAAACUGAAAGACUUGAGUGAAGGAGAGGAAAGUGGAAUUCCUAGUGUAGCGGUGAAAUGCGUAGAUAUUAGGAGGAAUACCGGUGGCGAAGGCGACUUUCUGGACUUUUACUGACGCUCAGGUACGAAAGCGUGGGGAGCAAACAGG